UGUAAAAGACAUUGUGUCCUCUGUGAAAGAAGGUCGAUUAAGCUAAAAGUAUGGGAUAUAGUACUGUAUUUAUUUUUGUUCUUCUCUGUUUCUCGUCGUUCACUGCCUAUGCCUCGUGGAUCAAAAUAUCCGGAUACAAGUUCAUCAGUGGUAUCAGCGUGGGCACAGAAGCUACUUACCAUGGCGAUUUAGCUAGUGCCAGGCCUCUCUGCCAACAGAGAUGCGACCAACUCACUUCUUGCAACGCGUUCCGUCUGUAAAGCUUUGUGGGCACAGUGUUCUGCACUCUGUUUGAAACGAUCACUGAUUACUCAUGCCCGACUGAUAGUGUUGAUUGGAACUGCAUGUUUGCUGACGGGGAGUCGUGGAAGAAAAUCGACUCGAGGAGUUAGAAGGGGAAACGACAUAUGGCUUAUCUCACAAACAUUUAGUAACUCAAAUUAAAGAUAAACAUUAAAACUUUAAA